CAUAUGCAAUAAUAAAAUUUAGUUUUCAUUUUGUUGUAGUAGUGUAUUCUUGAAAUAAUUGUUUUUAAUUCAGUGUUUUGUCAUAUCGCCAAGAGUUUCAUUAUCGCGAAAAUACCACGAAAUAUCGUGAUAUUAUUUUAGGGCCAUAUCACCCACCCCUAGUAGGUGGUAGUGAUCGGUAACGGUGACUAUGGCAGAAAUCACAUCCACAUUUAAUGCAGAAAGCCCUACAAACAUAUCCCACAGAUCAGUACAGCAUACUGUAGCUUCUAUGGGACGUGACAAAAGUCAUGGAACAGGAUACUAGUUUCUGUCACAUUACUUUUGGCAUGUCAGUGUAUAUUAACUGCAUUAACCUUCAUUAUCUCCAAUGAAAUGCUUAAAAAAGGCCAACUUUGAGUACUAAAGAUGUUAUGUAUAUGUUAAUUAUGUUAAUGCAAUUACAAUUGUAUGUAUGCAAUCUCCCUCACCAUGAAGGCAAUGUACACCUCUACUAUGAAUGACGAGAAUGGACCAGGACUGAAACAGGAGGGCGUUGCCGGUGUCCUUGAUUCACUCCGGCAGAGAGGAAAGGCCAAGAAAGAAAGAAUUCUUCUCAGAGACAUUACUCAGUUCACAAACAUCCAGAGGACACUACACACUGCUAGUGCUCAGACAGAGUCGGGCAUCGCUGCGGUCAAAGAGGCGGAUGUUCAGCAGUUGGCAGAAUAUUUGGAGGUGAGUUUAAAGCAUCUUUAUAUCAAAUGAUUAAGAUGCGUUAUUGUCAUUUUGCAUUUGGUCUGUUUGUAGCAUUAUAUGACAUCCUGAGAAAAAGUGUAAAAAUACACAAUAUAAUUAGUGACGAUAUUUUAGCUGGUCCUGUAAUGACCAAUACAUCAAAAGCUGUGUAACUGCGACAGGUGAAGACAGGUUACCUGAGGCUAAUAUAUUAGC
rnacentral:lncRNA from 1 species